UGGGGAAUCUUGCACAAUGGGCGAAAGCCUGACGCAGCAACGCCGCGUGCGGGAUGAAGGCUCUCGGGUCGUAAACCGCUUUCAGCGGGGAUGAAAUUGACAGUACCUGCAGAAGAAGCCCCGGCUAAAUACGUGCCAGCAGCCGCGGUAAUACGUAUGGGGCAAGCGUUAUCCGGAUUCAUUGGGCGUAAAGCGCGCGUAGGCGGCUUGUUAAGUCAGAUGUGAAAACCGGGGGCUCAACCCGCGGCCUGCAUCUGAAACUGACAGGCUUGAGUCUGGUAGAAGAAAGUGGAAUUCCUGGUGUAGCGGUGAAAUGCGCAGAUAUCAGGAGGAACACCAGUGGCGAAGGCGGCUUUCUGGGCCACGACUGACGCUGAGGCGCGAAAGCUAGGGGAGCGAACAG
rnacentral:rRNA from 1 species